rnacentral:rRNA from 1 species
CCGCUAACGAGCGCAACCCUCGCUGUAUGUUACAUGUGUCAUACAGGACCGCCGGUAUCAAGCCGGAGGAAGGUGGGGAGUGACGUCAAGUCCGCAUGGCCUUUAUGUCCGGGGCGUACACACACGCUACAAUGGUCGGCACAAUGGGUUGCUAAGCCGCGAGGUGGAGCCAAUCCCCCAAAGCCGGCCUCAGUUCAGAUUGCAGGCUGCAACUCGCCUGCAUGAAGCUGGAGUUGCUAGUAAACGCGCGUCAGCUAUAGUGCGUUGAAUACGUUCUCAGGCCUU